AGGAGAAAUCGCAUAGGAGAUCUCGUCAAGGAAUAUCGCAAAUCAGGUGAGCCUUGAUGUGGGGACUUGGGCCGGAGAGGAUUCAGAGUGGCCACGGUGAUCAUCUUUGGGCUUUUAAAUAAGUGUUGGUUUUCAUUUAAUUUCCUUUAAUUAUUAUUUAUUUUUGGGUUGUAAUAAGGCCAAUUUUAACUUUCCUUUUAUUUCUUUUCGGAAUUAUUUUAAUUUUAAUAACUUUAAAAAUUGGUUAAUAA